GGUUAAGCGACUAAGCGUACACGGUGGAUGCCCUGGCAGUCAGAGGCGAUGAAGGACGUGCUAAUCUGCGAUAAGCGUCGGUAAGGUGAUAUGAACCGUUAUAACCGGCGAUUUCCGAAUGGGGAAACCCAGUGUGUUUCGACACACUAUCAUUAACUGAAUCCAUAGGUUAAUGAGGCGAACCGGGGGAACUGAAACAUCUAAGUACCCCGAGGAAAAGAAAUCAACCGAGAUUCCCCCAGUAGCGGCGAGCGAACGGGGAGCAGCCCAGAGCCUGAAUCAGUGUGUGUGUUAGUGGAAGCGUCUGGAAAGGCGCGCGAUACAGGGUGACAGCCCCGUACACAAAAAUGCACAUGCUGUGAGCUCGAUGAGUAGGGCGGGACACGUGGUAUCCUGUCUGAAUAUGGGGGGACCAUCCUCCAAGGCUAAAUACUCCUGACUGACCGAUAGUGAACCAGUACCGUGAGGGAAAGGCGAAAAGAACCCCGGCGAGGGGAGUGAAAAAGAACCUGAAACCGUGUACGUACAAGCAGUGGGAGCACGCUUAGGCGUGUGACUGCGUACCUUUUGUAUAAUGGGUCAGCGACUUAUAUUCUGUAGCAAGGUUAACCGAAUAGGGGAGCCGAAGGGAAACCGAGUCUUAACUGGGCGUUAAGUUGCAGGGUAUAGACCCGAAACCCGGUGAUCUAGCCAUGGGCAGGUUGAAGGUUGGGUAACACUAACUGGAGGACCGAACCGACUAAUGUUGAAAAAUUAGCGGAUGACUUGUGGCUGGGGGUGAAAGGCCAAUCAAACCGGGAGAUAGCUGGUUCUCCCCGAAAGCUAUUUAGGUAGCGCCUCGUGAAUUCAUCUCCGGGGGUAGAGCACUGUUUCGGCAAGGGGGUCAUCCCGACUUACCAACCCGAUGCAAACUGCGAAUACCGGAGAAUGUUAUCACGGGAGACACACGGCGGGUGCUAACGUCCGUCGUGAAGAGGGAAACAACCCAGACCGCCAGCUAAGGUCCCAAAGUCAUGGUUAAGUGGGAAACGAUGUGGGAAGGCCCAGACAGCCAGGAUGUUGGCUUAGAAGCAGCCAUCAUUUAAAGAAAGCGUAAUAGCUCACUGGUCGAGUCGGCCUGCGCGGAAGAUGUAACGGGGCUAAACCAUGCACCGAAGCUGCGGCAGCGACACUAUGUGUUGUUGGGUAGGGGAGCGUUCUGUAAGCCUGUGAAGGUGUGCUGUGAGGCAUGCUGGAGGUAUCAGAAGUGCGAAUGCUGACAUAAGUAACGAUAAAGCGGGUGAAAAGCCCGCUCGCCGGAAGACCAAGGGUUCCUGUCCAACGUUAAUCGGGGCAGGGUGAGUCGACCCCUAAGGCGAGGCCGAAAGGCGUAGUCGAUGGGAAACAGGUUAAUAUUCCUGUACUUGGUGUUACUGCGAAGGGGGGACGGAGAAGGCUAUGUUGGCCGGGCGACGGUUGUCCCGGUUUAAGCGUGUAGGCUGGUUUUCCAGGCAAAUCCGGAAAAUCAAGGCUGAGGCGUGAUGACGAGGCACUACGGUGCUGAAGCAACAAAUGCCCUGCUUCCAGGAAAAGCCUCUAAGCAUCAGGUAACAUCAAAUCGUACCCCAAACCGACACAGGUGGUCAGGUAGAGAAUACCAAGGCGCUUGAGAGAACUCGGGUGAAGGAACUAGGCAAAAUGGUGCCGUAACUUCGGGAGAAGGCACGCUGAUAUGUAGGUGAAGUCCCUUGCGGAUGGAGCUGAAAUCAGUCGAAGAUACCAGCUGGCUGCAACUGUUUAUUAAAAACACAGCACUGUGCAAACACGAAAGUGGACGUAUACGGUGUGACGCCUGCCCGGUGCCGGAAGGUUAAUUGAUGGGGUCAGCGCAAGCGAAGCUCUUGAUCGAAGCCCCGGUAAACGGCGGCCGUAACUAUAACGGUCCUAAGGUAGCGAAAUUCCUUGUCGGGUAAGUUCCGACCUGCACGAAUGGCGUAAUGAUGGCCAGGCUGUCUCCACCCGAGACUCAGUGAAAUUGAACUCGCUGUGAAGAUGCAGUGUACCCGCGGCAAGACGGAAAGACCCCGUGAACCUUUACUAUAGCUUGACACUGAACAUUGAGCCUUGAUGUGUAGGAUAGGUGGGAGGCUUUGAAGUGUGGACGCCAGUCUGCAUGGAGCCGACCUUGAAAUACCACCCUUUAAUGUUUGAUGUUCUAACGUGGACCCGUGAUCCGGGUUGCGGACAGUGUCUGGUGGGUAGUUUGACUGGGGCGGUCUCCUCCUAAAGAGUAACGGAGGAGCACGAAGGUUGGCUAAUCCUGGUCGGACAUCAGGAGGUUAGUGCAAUGGCAUAAGCCAGCUUGACUGCGAGCGUGACGGCGCGAGCAGGUGCGAAAGCAGGUCAUAGUGAUCCGGUGGUUCUGAAUGGAAGGGCCAUCGCUCAACGGAUAAAAGGUACUCCGGGGAUAACAGGCUGAUACCGCCCAAGAGUUCAUAUCGACGGCGGUGUUUGGCACCUCGAUGUCGGCUCAUCACAUCCUGGGGCUGAAGUAGGUCCCAAGGGUAUGGCUGUUCGCCAUUUAAAGUGGUACGCGAGCUGGGUUUAGAACGUCGUGAGACAGUUCGGUCCCUAUCUGCCGUGGGCGCUGGAGAACUGAGGGGGGCUGCUCCUAGUACGAGAGGACCGGAGUGGACGCAUCACUGGUGUUCGGGUUGUCAUGCCAAUGGCACUGCCCGGUAGCUAAAUGCGGAAGAGAUAAGUGCUGAAAGCAUCUAAGCACGAAACUUGCCCCGAGAUGAGUUCUCCCUGACUCCUUGAGAGUCCUGAAGGAACGUUGAAGACGACGACGUUGAUAGGCCGGGUGUGUAAGCGCAGCGAUGCGUUGAGCUAACCGGUACUAAUGAACCGUGAGGCUUAACCUU
rnacentral:rRNA from 1 species